rnacentral:rRNA from 1 species
AACGAACGCUGGCGGCAGGCUUAACACAUGCAAGUCGAGCGCCCCGCAAGGGGAGCGGCAGACGGGUGAGUAACACGUGGGGAUCUGCCCAAUGGUACGGAAUAGCUCCGGGAAACUGGAAAUAAUACCGUAUGUGCCCGCAAGGGGAAAGAUUUAUCGCCAUUGGAUGAACCCGCGUCGGAUUAGCUAGUUGGUGUGGUAAAGGCGCACCAAGGCGACGAUCCGUAGCUGGUCUGAGAGGAUGAUCAGCCACACUGGGACUGAGACACGGCCCAGACUCCUACGGGAGGCAGCAGUGGGGAAUAUUGGACAAUGGGCGCAAGCCUGAUCCAGCCAUGCCGCGUGAGUGAUGAAGGCCUUAGGGUUGUAAAGCUCUUUCGCCGACGAAGAUAAUGACGGUAGCCGGAGAAGAAGCCCCGGCUAACUUCGUGCCAGCAGCCGCGGUAAAAC